CUACCUGCGGCGCUCUCCCUGUCUUCCCGGCUGUUGUGCCUGUCACACUGGACAGGCAGCGGCAGCCAGGGAGCCUCCGCUCAUCUCCCCCGGCCCUCCCCCUCUCUCCGUCUCCCUACACAUUGUACUGUGCGCGAUCGCGCGUGCGCGCGAUCGCGACGGUACGCGCGCGCCUGCGCGGCUUCAGUGAGCGGGUUUAACAGCCAGUAACAGCGGGAAGGAAGGUGCACAUCGGAAUCCUGCAGCAUGAAACAAGAACCCCUUCAGAGCGCAGCAGACCACACUGAAAAGGGUGCAUACCCGGUGCGGUGCUCUGCAUCCCGGGUCGUGCCGAAGAUGUGGAGUGUCGGAGGUGGCAGAAGCGCCGCAGCUUGGGGCUCAUUACUGAGGAGGGUUCUCUCUUCCCUCCCACAGGCAAUGUUGGCAAAGAAUGGAGAAAAAAAGGAGUAGAAUGCAGGGAUUCUCAGACGUAUGAGUCAGAAAUCAACCUCAUUCUGUGAAAUGGACUUAUGACUGGUUACUGGGCAGGACAGCUUGCACUUGGUCGGGGAAAUAGAAGUAACUUUGAAAGGGAAUUGAAGAGAAAGAACAAAGCAAUGCAUAACAAUUAAUUUCCCAAAAACUAUUGAAAUCAUUACAGAAACCAAAGAUCUGGGAACAUGUCGUUAGCGGCAACACAGCUUACCUUGUAGAGUUGUCAUUACCAGAACUUGUACUAACAUUUCAUAGAAGUACCCAGAAAUAAAUAAACAAAAAGUUUUCUUGUGGGGUCUGUCUAUCACAAAAUUAAGGAUGUCUCUGAAAUAAAUGUCCUUGUUGUACUUAA